rnacentral:lncRNA from 1 species
CCAGAGUCCAAAGCAUUGUAUUCAGGGUGUCUUUUAGUGUUAGUCCAAUUUGCACUAUAUUCAGGAUAAUUCAGCUAUUGCCAGUAUUCUAGCAGUCAAAUACAAAAUGACCCAGGUGAAGCAUGGUGAACUUUUGGUUUACAGUUUUAAAUUCAAGAGGUCAGUUUCGAUUGAUACAAGGAUAUGAAAUUAGGGUUUGUUCUGGUUGAAUAGGUUGAGGUUUAGGACAGGGAAGGAAAAAGAGAAAGGAUAAAGCCAAUCAGAUGGUAUGACAUCACAUUCAAGACUAAAUAAUGAGACUGUGAGCUCAUUUUAUCCUCAGGCACACUGGAAAGUAGGCAUACUAUACAGUAACAGCCAACUUUUUGUUCAUUCUAACUCUUACCACACCGAGCUUUCCUUGGUGUCAGCCACAGGGGUCACUAAGCCAUCAGCUGAUCAAGAAAGUCAAUUGUCUCCUACUGCAAAGAAAGCAUGCCAGCUUCUUGAACAGGAUGGAGUUUUCUGUUUUCUUCUCCUCUGUUUUGCCUGCAC